rnacentral:rRNA from 1 species
GACGAACGCUGGCGGCGUGCUUAACACAUGCAAGUCGAACGGAAAGGCCCUGCUUUUGUGGGGUGCUCGAGUGGCGAACGGGUGAGUAACACGUGAGUAACCUGCCCUUGACUUUGGGAUAACUUCAGUAAACUGGGGCUAAUACCGGAUAGUAGCUCCUGCUGCAUGGUGGGGGUUGGAAAGUUUCGGCGGUUGGGGAUGGACUCGCGGCUUAUCAGCUUGUUGGUGGGGUAGUGGCUUACCAAGGCUUUGACGGGUAGCCGGCCUGAGAGGGUGACCGGACACAUGGGGACUGAGAGACGGAGCAGACUCCGACGGGAGGCAGCAGUGGGGAAUAUGGCAGAAUGGGCGGAAGCCUGAGGCAGAAACGCCGCGUGCGGGAUGACGGACUUCGGGUUGUAAACCGAUGUCGCCUGUGACGAAGAGUGAGUGACGGUAAUGGGUAAAGAAGCACCGGCUAACUACGUG